rnacentral:rRNA from 1 species
UUUCCCCUUCGGGGGACAGAGUGACAGGUGGUGCAUGGUUGUCGUCAGCUCGUGUCGUGAGAUGUUGGGUUAAGUCCCGCAACGAGCGCAACCCUUAAGCUUAGUUGCCAUCAUUAAGUUGGGCACUCUAAGUUGACUGCCGGUGACAAACCGGAGGAAGGUGGGGAUGACGUCAAAUCAUCAUGCCCCUUAUGAUUUGGGCUACACACGUGCUACAAUGGACAAUACAAAGGGCAGC